UACAGGGGGGGCAAGCGUUGUUCGGAAUUACUGGGCGUAAAGCGCGUGUAGGCGGUUGUCCAAGUCGGGGGUGAAAGCCUUGAGCUCAACUCAAGAAAUGCACUCGGUACUGGGCGACUAGAGGACCGGAGAGGAUAGUGGAAUUCCCAGUGUAGUGGUGAAAUACGUAGAGAUUGGGAAGAACACCAGUGGCGAAGGCGGCUAUCUGGACGGUUUCUGACGCUAAGACGCGAAAGCGUGGGGAGCAAACAGG
rnacentral:rRNA from 1 species